AAUGUCCAUCCCUCAUAUGGUGUGCACCACAUCCAUUAGCCCUGGACGUGAAUUAUCUCUUUGUUCAGAGCAUCCACACUGCAUAUGCUGCCUGCCUCUUAGCCAUUGACAUCAUCUGCUCCUGACAUCCAACCAUCGACAUUGUCAUGGCUUGAUCGUCUGGAAUCACUUGAAACAGAUGAUGCUCCUUCGAAUGUAUUGUCAGAAGGACUUGCCAACCAGUAAGCUUUACUGCAGGUGGCUACUUGGAAAAAAUCCAAAACCCAAUAAUUGAAAGAACCUGUUUUUGGAGAGAAUGAAUGAAAAGGAAUUUAGAACUAUUGCCAAAAGCCACAGGUACAUCAGGCAGGUGUGGUGGGCUUUGGAAUUUGCAUGCUAGGGGGUAUAUGGAAAGUGGAAACUUC